GGUCAGGGGCACAGCUGGAGCAGCAAAGCAGGAGAGCGCGCUUAUCUAUGUUUAUACCAUAUGUGGAACUAGUGUGAUAGAACACAUUCAGAGGCGGAGAGAAGGGAAAAAUACUAGCUCAGGAGGCAGACUAUUAAGGCUUCUCUUUUGUUAAUAAUGGCUUCGGCUUUGCUUGUGCAUGGAUACGGAGUCCGGUUCGUGAAUCGCCACAAAUGGUGCCCUGUGUGAGGAGCGACAAAUUGACCUAAUAGGUGACCUGGUGGCGAUCCCCACAGGACUGAAGUGCUGCUGAAAGGAAGCAGGAGCCAGCUGGUAUCCCUCAUUGAGUGAGGUGUUCCUAUCUGCUGGCAGCUCCCUCCCUGAACCAACCUGAUGGGCCUCUGCUUCUCAUCAAAGGACACUUCUUCCCAUAAAGCUCAGUUCUGCUCUCAAAGAAACGUUAACAAAUAGGUUUCCCAUGACACUUUGAGGAAGGUCCCUGUAAACUUCUGCAAGGCACUCUCAUUAUUAUCCUCAUAUCUUAUUUACCUCCCCUUUUCCAUAGUAUCUAUAAAAGCCCAGCAAUGCUCAGGCUACUGAUUUGCUACGAGUGUUCCUACCCUGUUGAAAAACAGUACUGGACAAGGUGACAGCAGAGCUCAAUCUUCAUAUGUAUGAAAGCUGGUGGUAUCUGAAGUCUGGAUAGGCAAAAUUCAUCUACCAAAUUUUCCUUAUUCCAGCUUCCACGAAAAUAAUAUUUUUUUAAAAAUCAUGGUUCUCUUGCUCAGAAAAUGUAUUUGAUUUUAAGAAUGAGGUGCUGUCAGAGGUAGAGGUGUCCCAGAAAACUUGAUGCUGAAGCAAAGUGAUAAAUUGGAAAGGAGUAAGUCACCUGGUUCAAUGGAAGGCACCCAGCAGCGCCAGAAGGCUUAAACGUGAAAUGGCUGAGCUGAAGCAAACAAAACCACACUGGAACUGGAAAAUUUAUCUGAAAAUUUAUGCAUGGAAAAUGCUGUAUUUACCUUCAAAAGUGAAUAACCUGGAAAAUCUGGCAUGCCAGUUUUUGGACUGCUGGAAUUAUAAUUAAAACAAUAGAAAAGCAUUAAAGAUCACAAUGUAGUCUAAUUAGCACAGUUUCUUCAAACAAAAAUGGUGCCUCCUUAAUCUCCUAGAAUGUACUAAUAAAAGAAUAGGGGAUAAAAUUUAUUUGGACUUCUGAUAGCUUUUAGUAUAGUCCACCAAGUAAAGCUACAAAAGAAACACAGUGGCCAAGUACACAGAGGAAAAACUCUCCUGCUUUGGAAACUCACUAAGGGACAUAAAAGGAGAAGAAGCUGUAAAUUACUGAAAUGGCAAAGUUUAACAGUGGGAACUUUUGAUUGUGUUUUUAAUAGAACAGGUUUCUGCUUUAAAAAAAGAGGGAAAUUUAUUUUAAAUGCAUUGUCUCACAGGAAGGUGUUGAUUUAAAUGAAAUUUGCUAUGGAAAAGGUCAAAAUGAAUCAUAUGAACUUUACAGAUUUAAUUAUGUUGCAGUGUUUCAUUAUAACUAGAAUUUCCUUUCGUGACAUGAACAUUUAAUGUUACUAUUUUAC